rnacentral:rRNA from 1 species
AACGAACGUUGGCGGCGUGCCUAACACAUGCAAGUCGAACGGGGUUAAGGGGCUUGCUCCUUAACCUAGUGGCGCACGGGUGAGUAACGCGUGGAUAAUCUGCCCUGGUAUCUUGGAUAACAUCUCGAAAGGGGUGCUAAUACGGGAUAAGCCCACGGGAUCUCCGGAUCUUGCGGGAAAAGGUGGGGACCUUCGGGCCUACCGUAUCAGGAUGAGUCCGCGUACCAUUAGCUAGUUGGCGGGGUAAAGGCCCACCAAGGCGACGAUGGUUAGCGCGUCUGAGAGGAUGAUCAGCCACACUGGAGCUGAGAAACGGUCCAGACUCCUACGGGAGGCAGCAGUGGGGAAUUUUGCGCAAUGGGGGAAACCCUGACGCAGCAACGCCGCGUGAGUGAUGAAGGCAUUCGGGUCGUAAAGCUCUGUCAGAGGGAAAGUAGUGUGUGGAGGCUAAUAUCCUUUACACCUGACGGUACCCUCAAAGGAAGCACCGGCUAACUCCGUGCCAGCAGCCGCGGUAAGAC